GAAGAGAGUGCUCGACCGGAACAACGUAAAACCAUAGAACCCAGUUUUCACCCUAGCCUAGGAAAGAAAGACAGAAAAACAGAAAGAAACACGACCUUAACAGAAAUAAACAUGACCGACCUUCAAAGACAGACAGUAGACCUUACUCCUUUUAGUAUAUAGUAUAAGUAAGAGCAACCAUUCUAUGACAUUUCUCCCCAGUUGACUUGAAUUUGUAGAUAGUAUAAGUAAGAGCAACCAUUCUAUGACAUUUCUCCCCAGCCCCGUUUACCUUAUUUUGUAGAUAGAAUCUUCAAUGAGUGGGAAAGGAGCAAACAACAGCAUCUUCUAAAUACAGGUUUGCGAAAGGAGCAAACUACC
rnacentral:lncRNA from 1 species